rnacentral:lncRNA from 1 species
CAAUACUUGAGCUGACCCCCACCCCCAAAAAAAAAAAAUAUAUUGAAUUUUGGUCUGAUUUUUUGCAUCAUGGUCAAGAAAAAUAUGAAGUAUUUUUCAAGAGAAAGAGAAAAAAAAUUGGAGUGGCAAAAGAGGUAUUUUUAGCCGCAUCGUCACGUGGGCAUUGGCAGGCCAUUUCCCGCCCAGCUAACCUCCCUUCGUGCGAGAAAUGACCAGCGGAAGCGCGCAGCAAGCGCGCCCGCGUGCGGAAAAAUCGCGCAGCACCCGCGCGCCCGCGCGCGGCUACUUCACGCGGCACCAUCGCGCGCAGCAAGCGCGCCCGCGCGCGGCACCAUCGCGGGCAGCAAGCGCGCCAGCGCGCGGCACCAUCGCGCGCAGCAAGCGCGGCAGCGCGCGGCACCAUCGCGGGCAGCAAGCGCGCCAGCGCGCGGCACCAUCGCGCGCAGCAAGCGCGCCAGCGCGCGGCACCAUCGCGCGCAGCAAGCGCGCCAGCGCGCGGCACCAUCGCGCGCAGUUAGCGAGAUUGCGCGCGGCUCCUUCACGCGGCACCAUCGCGCACAGCAAGCGCGCCAGCGCGCGGCACCAUCGCGCGCAGCAAGCGCACCAGCGCGCGGCACCAUCGCGCGCAGUUAGCGAGAUUGCGCGGGGCUCCAUCGCGCGCAGCAAUCGCGCCAGCGCGCGGCACCAUCGCGCGGCACCAUCGCGCAGUUAGCGAGAUUGCGCGCGGCUCCUUCACGCGGCACCAUCGCGCGCAGCAAACGCGCCAGCGCGCGGCACCAUCGCGCGCAGCAAGCGCGCCAGCGCGCGGCACCAUCGCGAGCAGUUAGCGAGAUUGCGCGCGGCACCAUCGCGCGCAGCGAGCGCCCCAGCGCGCGGCACCAUCGCGCGCAGCCAGCGCGAUCGCGCGCGGCACCAUCGCGCUUAGCAAGCGCCCCAGCGCGCGGCACCAUCCCGCGCAGCCGGCGCGAUCGCUCGCGGCACCAUCUCACGCAACCAUCGCGCGCAGUUAGCGAGAUUGCGCGCGCCACCAUCGCGCGGCACCAUCGCGCGGCACCAUCGCGCGCAGCAAGCGCCCCAGCGCGCGGCACCAUCGCGCGCAGCAAGCGCACCAGCGCGCGGCACCAUCGCGCGAAGUUAGCGAGAUUGCGCGUGGCACCAUCGCGCGCAGCGAGCGCCCCAGCGCGCGGCACCAUCGCGCGCAGCCAGUGCGAUCGCGCGCGGCACCAUCUCCCGCAGCCAGCGCGAUAGCGAGGGGCACCAUCGCGCGCAGCAAGCGCGCCAGCGCGCGGCACCAUCGCGCGCAGUUAGCGAGAUUGCGCGCGGCUCCUUCACGCGGCACCAUCGCGCGCAGCAAGCGCGCCAGCGCGCGGCACCAUCGCGCGCAGCAAGCGCGCCAGCGCGCGGCACCAUCGCGAGCAGUUAGCGAGAUUGCGCGCGGCACCAUCGCGCGCAGCGAGCGCCCCAGCGCGCGGCACCAUCGCGCGCAGCCAGCUCCCCAGCGCGCGGCACCAUCGCGCGCAGCAAGCUCCCCAGCGCGCGGCACCAUCGCGCGCAGCAAGCUCCCCAGCGCGCGGCACCAUCGCGCGCAGCAAGCUCCCCAGCGCGCGGCACCAUCGCGCGCAGCAAGCGCACCAGCGCGCGGCACCAUCGCGCGCAGGCAGCCAACUCUCGUGCGGCAAGGCAGCCAACGAUCUUGCGCGAGGAUGCGCACGCUGGCGCGCGAGGUUGCCCACACUCGCGCGGCAAGGCAGCCAACUCUGGCGCGGCAAGGCUGCCCACGCUCGAGCGGCAAGGCUGCGCACUGUGGCGCGAGGCUGCGCACGCUGGCGCCCGAGGCUGCCAAGAUGGCGCGCGUUACCAACGCUCGCACGGCAAGCAAGCCACGCUCGCGCGCCAGGCUGCGCACGCUCGCGCGGCAAGGAUGCGCACGCUGGCGCGCGAGGUUGCCCACUCUCGCGCGCAAGGCAGCCAACUCUCGCGCGGCAAGGCUGCCCACGCUCGAGCGGCAAGGCUGCGCACUCUGGCGCGCGAGGCUGCGCACGCUCGCGCGGCAAGCAAGCCGACGCUCGCGCGCCAGGCUGCGCACGCUCGCGCGGCAAGGAAGCCAACGAUCGCGCGCGAGGCUGCGCACGCUGGCGCGCGAGGCUGCCCACCCUCGCACGGCAAGGCAGCCAACGCUGGCGCGCGAGGCUGCCCACGCUCGCGCGGCAAGGAAGCCAACUCUUGCGCGCGAGGCUGCCCAUUUCCGAGUAAGGCAUGCUUCACCCACUCGCGAGGAAGGCAGCGCGAACUCGUGCGAGGGAUGUAGCCCAGCCUCGCGUGCCCGCAGCGCACGCUGGCGGGGAAGGAUACGAGCGCGCGCGCGGCAUGCACCUGGCACUCGCGCGGCAAACUGCCGACGCUCGAGCGAGGCAAGGCAGCGGGCGCUCGCCACCAAGGCACGCAGCCACGCUCGAGCGAGGCAAGGCUUGCGCACGCCAUGCAGCCCCCACUCGCGCGG